rnacentral:rRNA from 1 species
AUAUCAAUAAGCGGAGGAAAAGAAACUAACAAGGAUUCCCUAGUAAACUGCGAGUGAAGCGGGAAAAGCUCAAAUUUAAAAUCUGGCAGUCUUUUGGCUGUCCGAGUUGUAAUCUAGAGAAGUAUUAUCCGCGCUGGACCGUGUACAAGUCUCCUGGAAUGGAGCGUCAUAGAGGGUGAGAAUCCCGUCUUUGACACGGACUGCCAGGGCUUUGUGAUAUGCUCUCAAAGAGUCGAGUUGUUUGGGAAUGCAGCUCAAAAUGGGUGGUAGAUUCCAUCUAAAGCUAAAUAUUGGCGAGAGACGAUAGCGAACAAGUACCGUGAGGGAAAGAUGAAAAGAACUUUGGAAAGAGAGUUAAAACAGUAC